AAUCCAACAGGAAGAAAUAAUUGAACUGGAACGUGAGUAUAAUGUGAAACAAACGUAGCAGCUACGGUUACGUUUAUCACGUUACAGAUUUGGCGAGAUUUUCGAAGUAGAAAGAGCAGGUUCUCACAGUAAGUCGUGAAGAAUUAUGACUUUAGAAUUGCAUUGGUAAUUUUACAGUCGAAUGAGAGAGCACUUCCUUACGACACCGGGACUAAUGAAGAAAAAAUGAAAACCGACAGAGCGGUAGUGUUGAAGCGGCACGUUAAGGUGCAUUCACAGUUGUUACUUUACUCGUUACACACAUUAUACACAAUAUUUAGUGGUAUACGAAAUUCGACGUAGGAUUCUAUUUCUAAAUUCUUUUACGUUUGCUGAUACUCAUGCACUUAACUCAUCAAUUUUAGUGCAUCGCGUUGUUGAACAGACGACAGUCAGAGACACUUGAAGACUCUUAACACCCGAAGAUGUCCAAAAGAUAGCAUGUUAAACUUUCAUCAAAGCGGACCAGUUCACCGACAAUCGGUUGAACCAAGUAACAAGUCACGAUAUUACAAACAACAAAACACCAUUCACAUUUCCUAGCAUGACACGAUAGUACCAAGGUAUAGGUAACAAAUCUGGACGCACCUUUACGAGUCCGAGGGUGAUCUCGUUUAUAUUCUUUGAGUGAUUUAUGGACAAACUGCUGCAACUCCGUCUACUUCACCUCUAUUCACCUCGUUAGAAAGGAUAAUGUAUUCAUGAAUGGUCGGACUCGUUCCCUGACGCGUUGCCGUGAACUUCUAAACUCGACAAGGAAAGUGUAUAUAUAUAUAUAUAUAUAUAUAUAUAUAUAUAUAACCGACUGGAGCAACCUUUAAAUCGAAUCGGCCUAUAUACCUCUUCGUGACUGUUAUUACGAAGACUGUGUUGUCAUUUUUUUCUCUGUGUUGUCGGCAUGUUCUGAAUUUCCAUCUAGAAGUCAAGGAGCUUUCUCUUUUUCGAAUUUUCGGAAAUGAAAUAUUUAUUAUUAUUAAAUAUUUAUUAUCGAAGUGAAUGUAUGCGUUUUAAAUGGGAACGGUGUAGAAUUAUUUUGAGGUUAUGUUUCUAUAUUUCUGUUUCUUAUAUUUUGAGGUUAUUUAUACUUCUAGUGAAAGUCAAAGUAUGCCUCGAUCUAAUGUGGAACAAUUUUUAGAUAUUAAUUCUUUUAUAGACAAUCGUUUAAUUCCGCUUUAAUCCUUCAAUUUUCUACAAUUAAGUCAUAUAAUAACCGACAGGAGGAUAAACCCAGGGCUUUCGGAUUUAAAGGCGGGCGUAAAGAGAAGAAAUCUCUCUAGAAUUCGUUAUCGUGGAUCAGACCGGGGCGGUAUUUUCUUUUUCAUGGUGGAACGAGCGAGCGUUGUUUCCUGUCUGUCAGUUUCUGUCGAUUAGUCGCGUCUAGUAGCGGCGCGUAACGUCCCAUUCGGAGCGCAGGAAGAAAGAGGCUUUGGAGUCGACGUGAAGGCAAAGCGAGACAAGGCGAGACAAGGCAAGGCAAGGCAAGGCGAGUGGCUUGUCAAGAGCUUCCUUCCGGCGACGCAGUGUGUUACGAAGGUAUGGGCGUCGGCGAGAGAAACGAACGCUCGCCGAAGGGUGCUUCAAACGAAUUAGUUGGCGCCAGAAAACUCGUCGGACCUUCAUCCAAACGAUCUUCGAGUCGAGCCGACGUGGGUGUCUGGCGUGGAUUUCUUUUCCCGAAGUUGCAAAAGCGCGGCAAGAAAGAAAGCAACGAACCUUUCGGAGAGAGAGAUUGCACUGCCGGUGUACAGGGGACCUGGUAACCCGUGGCACGGUGUAACCGUGUAUAGGUGUAGAGCAAAAGGAAGACAAACGACGCGUCAACGGAGCUCAAGUAGAAGAGAUUAGUCCCGGGGAUGAUGAACGGCCGACGAAAAACCGCGGGAUGUGUCAUACCAUUUCAAUUUUGCGUGGCAGUCAACAAUAGAAGUUGACGAUAGAAGUCGAAGACUUUUGGAAAGGUGAGCGUUAAGUGUUGGUAACUGUGUAAGAAUUUUUAGCGUUGGAUAUAUUUUAUAUAUCCAAAUGUAUUCAGUGUAUA